GAUAUGAACAGCUUAUUGUCCAAUUUGGCAUAGCGCAGGAUUCAUAACCCUUAGGUCACGGGUUCAACUCCCGUUUUGAUCA
rnacentral:tRNA from 1 species